UCUCUGGUUUUCCUUUUUAACCCCUUACGUCUCGCGUAUUUAUAAAGCAGAGGUGGCGUCACAGAGACGCGCCUAUGCACUUCAGCUCCUCUAUAAAAGCGCGAUACUGUUUUUUGUUCUUUCGCUUGCUCUCUUACUGUCUCUGCUGUCUCUCGGUCCGGUAAAUAGACAGCUUUUUUGAAGAGGUGAUAGCAAAUGCACCGCCACAAAAUCCCCUGAAAACAUGACCUCCAAGGAUUUGGAGUUUGAGAAACAAAAAGGUUUAACCCAGCACAUGGUGCUCUAAUUAUAUUAUUAUUAUUAUUGUUGUUGUUAUUAUUUUAUUACAACUAUUUAUAUUUAUAAUUGAGAUUCCGUUUUACUCCAUUAUUUUCUGUUUAACAUGAAAUGUGAAGAAACAUGAGAAAUGUGUGAAAGGAUUUGUUUUUCAAUUCUCUUUUUUAUGUCAUAUUUGAUUUUUUUUUUCCCCCUUUUUACCACAUUUUACGCUUGUAAUAACACCCUAUUCAUAUGAUGUUGUGCACCCUUGAUUGGUAAGGCAAUAAGGAAUUUGUUGUUGAUGGAAGCAGGUUUUAGUGUACAUGCAUACUUAUGUUUGAAAAAUCUAUCAAUAUUUAGUGUGCCAUGAAUACCUA